AUUGAACGCUGGCGGCAGGACUAACACAUGCAAGUCGAACGAGUGGCGGACGGGUGAGGACUGUCAGGGAAACUGACUGAUGGAGGGGGAUAACUACUGGAAACGGUAGCUAAUCCCGCAUACCAUCAGAUGUGCCCAAAGGGGAGUUGCUGGUUGGUGGGGUAACGGCUCACGAAGGCGACGAUCCCUAGCUGGACUGAGAGGAUGACCAGCCGCACUGGAACUGAGAAACUGUCCAGACUCCAACGGAAGGCAGAAGUGGGGAAUGUUUCACAAUGGGCUCAAGCCUGUUGCAGCCAUGCCGCGUGUAUGAAGAAGGCCGUCAGGUUGUAAAGUACUUUCAGCGGUUAGGCGUUACCCUCAGAAGAAGCACCGGCUAAAUCCGGGCCAGCCGCCGCGGUAAUUC
rnacentral:rRNA from 1 species